rnacentral:rRNA from 1 species
UGAGGAAUAUUGGUCAAUGGACGAGAGUCUGAACCAGCCAAGUAGCGUGCAGGAUGACGGCCCUAUGGGUUGUAAACUGCUUUUAUAAGGGAAUAAAGUUAGAGUCGUGACUCUUUUUGCAUGUACCUUAUGAAUAAGGACCGGCUAAUUCCGUGCCAGCAGCCGCGGUAAUACGGAAGGUCCGGGCGUUAUCCGGAUUUAUUGGGUUUAAAGGGAGCGUAGGCCGGAGAUUAAGCGUGCUGUGAAAUACUGUCGCUCAACGACAGAGGUGCAGCGCGAACUGGGAGACUUGAGUGCGCGGAAUGCAGGCGGAAUUCGUCGUGUAGCGGUGAAAUGCUUAGAUAUGACGAAGAACUCCGAUUGCGAAGGCAGCUUGCAGUAGCGUAACUGACGCUGAAGCUCGAAAGUGCGGGUAUCGAACAGGAUUAGAUACCCUGGUAGU